UCUGGUAUGGCUGUGGCUGUGGCACAGGCCAGCAGCUGCAGCUCCAAUUCGACUUCUAACCUGGGAACUAACAUGCUGCAGGUACGGCCCUAAAAUGCAAAACAGAAAAAGAGAAGAGGCAUAAUCAGGUGACCCCAAGUAUAAGGUUGGAAAAAACUCAAUGUUUUUAUGUUAUUUGAACAGGGCAUUAAAGACUAAGCUUUGGCUGUGAUAAUAAUGGCUAUCAUUUAUCAAAUGCAUUUGAGCCUACACUUUAGGUGUAUGACUUAUUAUCUUUACCAACUCUCCCCAAGCUAACUAUUAUCCUAAUUUUGCAAGUUAGAAAAGUGAGGUUUAGAAGGUUAAGCUUGCCUAAAAUCGUGUGACUACCCAAACUGUCAGGUUCCAAUACACUGCUUCCUUUAUUGCCAUGUUAUUUCUUGCUAUGAGAGAAAGAGGGGGAGUGGGAUGAAGUAAGUGUGAAGGCACAGAUGGAGAGAGUAGCUGCAACCAGAUUUGUGUCCGUGAAUGAUCAUUGGACCUAGAAGAGAAUAACUACCUUUAUCUCACUUGGGUAAAGAGGUGGUAAGACUAGAAAUGGGAAUGAAGGCCAAGAAAUUUGGAUGUUAGCCUAUAAUUAUUUGGGAGCCAUGGCUGGAUUAUGAAAUGGGAAAUUUGAUAUUGACAAAUGAAUGUCAAUGAGGUAGGAAAAAGGAAGCAGAGAAACAAGUUGUAAAAUUACUAGAACAGAUUAUUGAAGACUUGAACUAGAGAAGUAGCAUAUGGAUGUAAAAGAGGUAAUGUACAUACUUACACUGGUUGUAGACUUGGCAAGUUGGUGGGACACUUACUUGAUGGAGGAGUUGUCAGGAGGCAUCCUGAAGUUUGAGAUAGUGACUGGGAGAAUAUCUUUUCUGUCAGAACUGAGAAAUAGAUUUGCCUAAAUGGAGAUGGUGAAUUCAAGUGUUAUAUAUUGGGUUGGAGAUGAUGGUGGGUCAUUUAGAUGGAGCUACCAGCAGGAAGUAUCCUCCCUUGCUUCAGUGUCGUUUAGAACCUUGGGUGAUUUGUUAUAUUGACCUGCUUUUCUAGAAGUUUUGUUUCCUUUGAUAUACUUGGUAUAGCUUGCUUAUUUAUUUUUACAGUAAGUUCAAGAUAUCUGUUUCUUGACAUUUGUUAUGAUCUUAUGCAAAUCAAGUGCAGAAUUUUUGCAAACAUCCCAUCUCUUGAAUUCUUUCUGGAUAAGUAGGAGUUUAUUGACUUCCUCUUCCCUUAGUUUUCUGAGUUGUCCCUAAGGACAGGGAAUCCUGAGAUGAAGUGCUAUGUGAUGAUGUGUGGUAUAGCACCCAAGAAAAUGGACUUUGAUGUCAGAGUUAUAUCCUAGUACCACCCCUGGGCUGAUGUUGUUUGACUUCCCCCACCUCAUUUCUUCUCUCAUCUGUAAAGUAGAGAGAGUAAUAGCAGUCUCACUGAAUUGCUGUAAUAGUUAAAUGAGGUACUAUAUGUAAGGUACUUGGUAAAAUCUUUGAGGCAUAAUGAGCCUGAAAUAAGUGGCCGUUAUUGUUGUCUUUAAUUUUCGUGUCCUCAACAUAUCUUUAGUGCCCUCAUUAAUUUCUUUAAUUUUUUGUAGAGCCAGAACUGUGCCCCCAAUUGUAGUCCACUAUGACUUUAGUAAUUUUAGGAGCAUCAGGUGAUGUUUGCUUGUCAACUUCCAAUUUUUUGUUUUAAGCCAGUGUUGCUUGCUCUGGUACUGACUUAUCUUUACAAUGCUGUACUGAGUACCAGAAUUCUACUUAGAGAUAUUGCUAAGGAUAUUAUAUACAAGUAAUAUUUUACAUGUGUACUCUUGUCAAAUGUGUUGUGGUUCUUCUAUACUUGUGACCUAAUAUGAGGUGAAUCACAGACCUUUCUCACAUCUAAUAAGGUUUGUAAUGUUACCUGCUAUCUACAGCAUUGCCCCUGUGAGUGAUUAGAAAUUAUAAGCUUUUCUUAUGUUUAGUUGUUUUUGUUCUUACUAUAUCUGAUUCAGCGUUACCUGCAAAUUAAUUUUUUAAUAAGCGAGACUAGUUCCAUGAGACUAGUUUUUAAUUAAAUAAUUGUCUCUUUUUGUUUGGAUGAGUCCAUUUUUGUGUAUCAGUAUUAUUAAACAUGGAACUUUAAAAAAUUUAGCAAAUCUAAUAGUAAGAAUUUAAUAUAGGAAAUCUAGUUAUAAAUUUCUUUGAUUAUAGAUAAGCUCAUUAGUUGCACAAAUACUUGCCUUUCAGUUUUGACUAUUGUUCUAAACUGAAAAAUCUUUGUCCUGUUCCUUAGGUAGCCACAAAGUAAGAAUGGAAGAAAUUUUUCCUUUAAUUUCCCUGCUUGGCCACACACUAAAAUUCAUAUAAACAUUCUUUGUGGAUAGCAAAAGAAUUACCUUUUUUUUUUUUUUUUGGCCAUGCCUACAGCAUGUGAAGUUCCCGGGCCAGGGAUUAAAACUAGGCUACAGCAGUAACCCGAGCAACUGCAGUGACAACACUGGAUCUCAAUCUGUUGCUCCACAAGGAAACUCCUAAAAAUAUCGUUUUGGUACCUCUUCUCUCCUAUAUGGUAUAUAUUGUAUAUCCAUGGAAAUAUCUUCCGUGUUUGAAAUUUUGUCUUUAUUUCAGUGCUUGCUGUUCCCACCAGCUAAGUCUAAGUUCAUGGCAAUGGCUGGUAACUCUAAAUUCAUUUACAAUUCCAGAACUGAUUUAUCUCUUUGGGACACCCAUCUCAUUCUAACUCAGUGUAAAUCUGCUUUUUAAGUAUCAACUCUUGUCCUGAGCAGACUGAGUGAUUCUAUAGAGAAAAGAAGGGUCUAUUCGAACCUACCACAUAUCAUGGCUAUAGUAUCAAAAACUCAUUUUAUAAUACCAAAUCCAAAGAUGUUCGUUAUAAUUAUUUUCUACUAAUUGAAGAGGGAGCUUCUGUCUCAGGCUGUGAAAAUGGAUUUGAAAGGACAUAAGCAAGAGACAAUGGGAAAAUGGGAUAUCCAGGAUUAAGUGAUUAAUUCUGUUGGAAAUAGAAGGCAAGCAGAAGAAUGAAUUAAAAAUUUCAUAAGUUUUAAAAUUAUUUAUUUUUUAAAUAAAUGAAAUGAGAAAAUCAGAGAGAGAUGUCAACCACAUUUCUAUUGGGGACAAAUUUGUUUUGUAUUCAGUUUUAGGAAGUUGCUAUUUUUAUGAGAAAAAAUAAAAAUAGAACUUUCCAGAACUGGAACAGUAUCCAAGAAAUAGAAACUUUAAAAGUCUUCCAGUCUGCUUUCUUCAUUUAAUAGCUGAGAAAACUACAGCAGAGAAGUUUUUAUCCGAGGUUAUAGAUAGCAGCACAAUCACAAUUUGAACACUACUUGAAAAAAUUCAUGAGAUGGGUAGAAUGUGCAACCAAGGUUGUUCAUUGUAUUAGUAAUUAGUAGAAUGGGGUUAAUCAGCAUUGAUAAAAUAGGUCAGUUAAAUCAGGAAUAAAUGAUGAGGUUUCUUAGAAUUUGAAAAGUCUCAAAUAUUUCAGUUGAAUCAGAUCUUGUUACUGUUUUCACUGAAAAUAUCUAGCUUUCCUGAUCUGUAACUCAUUUUGAGAUGAAAAUGCAUAUGACUCAGCCAGUUCUGUUUGCUCAUAACAUAUUUUGCUCUUCUGGUAAACUUAUUCUAGGAAUAAGGAAUAGGCGUUUCCAGCAUUUAAAACUCAGAACCUGAAAAUCCCUCUGAUCAUCUCUUUUUUUCUGGGAUUUGGUAUCUUGGUUUCUGAAUGAACCAAUACUAUAUACAGCUAUCAAUUUUUUUGUGCUUCAUCUUUGUAAGUUUUCAUGCUUAUCAUUUAUGAUUAUAAUCUACUCCCAUGUGUCCCUUCUGUUUUCUUUCUCUCUAGAAGAUAAUUGAACAUUUCCAUUGCCUGAUGGUUUUGGUGAUAUUUCUGUUCUGCCUCUUCCUUAGGGCAGUCAGGUAGAGCCUCUUUUUAUCUUUGAGUCUUGUUUGGAUAGCUGGCUGGUGCUUCUUGGGGUGAGCUGAUAGAUUAGUUCAGAGGACACCAAAUGGGGCUGGGGUCGAGGGGGAGUCUCAUGUAUUAUGGGAGGGCAUGGUGCAAGGGGAAAACAUAAACUUGUGAGUCACAGCUUGGUUUCAGUCUUGGCUUGGCUACUUUCUAGAUGUGCAGCUUGGUCAAAUUAUGUCACCUCUUUUGAGCCUUAGUUUCCCUAACAUUAAAUCAAGAGUUGAAAGGAGGAUUAAGUGAGAACAUAGAUAAUUCAUGGUAUAUAUGCUGUGCACACCUCCCUGCUCUUCUCCCAUAUAAGAUCAGACAUACUACUCUGUUAUACUUUAUCAGUUUUAGUUGCUACACACAGGCAUAUGAAUUGACCUCUUUUUGUUGCUACUUCAGUGCUUUUGGUGAUUAUUAAAGGAUAUAAAGCUUAAUUUGCUUUCAAUAUGGCUAAUCCACAAACUAUUGUAAUGUUUAGUUGAUUUCUCCAUCUCUUCUUAUGACCAGUUUAGUUCACCAACAAAAUAACUUUAUGUAUAAUGUAAGUCCUUAGUCACUACAAUUAAAGUAUUUGGGCUAUCCAGCACCCUUUCCUGCUUACUUAUGGGUAUUUUUCACCUGCUCUGUUUACUUUUUAUUUAUCUUUGUCCUGUCUUUGUUAUUUUUUCUUUACAGCUAUUUUUCAGGGUUAAUGCCUGUGGAACAAGGCUGUUUUAAUCAAUAAAAGUCGGUGGAGCUAUAUCUUACUCUGUAGACAAAGAAUCUGCUGUUCACAUCAUUAUAUGCAAUUUCUGAGUACUUGGCUUUGAUUGGAAAUUGUUUGUGCCCAUGCUUGCAGGCAUUUCUUCUGCAUCCUGUGAAUGUUCAGGUUGGCUGAGGGUGCCGUACUUCCACUUGAAAGUAGAUAAGCAUCAAAAUGGGUAACACUUCCAUCCUGAAAGAUUCCAAAGCACACUGCGAAUGGUUACAAAUUAUACAGUGAAGCACAGUCACCAUUGCAGAGUGAAGCAUGGCAGCUGUUUAACAGCUCAUCACAAUGCUACACAGCAAGUUAGGGAAGGAAGUGAAGAAUAAUACUGGAUUCACUUGAAAAAAUUGCUAGGGGGGUGAGGUAAGCAGAAUGUAAUUACCUAAGUUGGAAUUUAUCCAGGACGUAAGGCUAACACCUCCAGUCUUAGAAGAGGAAGCUCUAAUUCUCCAAUAACCAUGUACUUGCUUUCAACGUAAGUGAAUUGCAAAGGUACUUCUAUUCUCUUCAUACCAUCAAGGUAUAAUCUGACUUUUCCAACUGAGACUUUAAAAGGGAAAAAAAAAUCCUUCUUCAGAACCCACAUGGUCAUACUGACUCAGGGAUGAGACAGAUAGGUUUCUAUUUGUGUUCUAUCUUUGCUUUGUAGUGACUGUUUGGAAAUUGUUGAGGACUCUAAGGCCAUAUUCAAGAUUAAAAAAAGAACUUCAGGAUCGAUUAGUGAUCUCUGCUGUAAACAUAAGAGAAGUAGUCCUUAACUUGUGUCAUAUUUUUGUCACCCUAGCACUACUUACUACUUAGCUGCUAUUUUCUUGGGAUGAAUUACUCUUAGUUCUUUUCAGACUUUCUGCUUAUUUUUAAUUACUGCUGCAGGCAUAUUUAAGAUUUCCUGAAAAAAAAAUUUAGGGGAACGGGACAUUGACCAUUUGUUAGUAAUUAUGAUUGGUGGGGCUAGUGAUAAAAAGAUAUAACUUUAGGUCAAAAAUUUCAAAGCAAAAAAUAUCCAGCAGAGGAAGCAGUUUGGUGUCAGGCUGGGUUUUCAUCUAGGAAAGUAAUCAAAUCAACAUCUUGAGGGAGCAAACAGGAAUUAAGGUCAGGAACACAAGAUAGCAGGAACAUGUUAUCAAAUCAAGGUAAGAAUUAGAUCAGAGUUAGGUUCUUUUGAGGAAUGUUAGAAACUGAAGGUAACAGGACCAAGCAAACCAUGGGCCCUGGGCCUGAGGGCAGCACCAGGGAUAGCUCCCAGUGCUGGUGGCUUCUCCUUGGCUCUUUGGUUCUUUCUCUUUCAGUUCUGCCCCUCAGUCUAGUGCAUCCUGCUUUGGCUUAGUAAUACAAUCAGUCUGUAAAAUGAAGAUGAACCCUUUCAUCCUAUUAAUGUUCAUAUUAGUGAUAAGCAGGUACUGUAUAAUUCCUUCAUUCUUUUACACACCUUAUUUAAUCUACUUAACCUUAUGUUGGUAUUAUAACUCCCAUUUAGGUAUGAGAAGAUGAAGUUAAGUAAUUCACCCAAUUUCACAUUUCAAAUCAAGCUUGGAACCCUGAGUCAAAUGUUGAUCUGUCUGGUUCCCAAGCUUGUGCUCAUAUGACUGUACCAUAAAGUUACACAAGAAUGAAUCAUUUGUGUGGCACUUGCUUCUAUAAAGCAGGGUUACUCUAGGAUAUUCUGGGGUUUUAGAGCACAGCUGAGAAGGAAAUUUGAAAUACUUUUAGUAUCAGGCUAGAGUAUGGAUAAUUUGUUUGUUCUUCUGUGCUCCAGAAGAAUUACUGGUAGAGUUGUUAGAAAUUAUAGAUUUUUGGUGGUCUUCCUGUUGGGAUUAUGGAAGUAUUCAAGCAAAAGAACCGUGUGUCAGCUUGUUUAGACAGAUUUUGCAUUUCUGUGAAUUUUGUGAAAGUGACUUUUAAGUUAUAUUAAAUUCUGUGAUGUUUUGAUUUAGGUCCUAUAUCUCUGACAUAUUCUUUAUUUCCCUCAAUACAUGAUGGUAUGAGUUGCUGUAAAAGAUCUUCAUCAACUCUGAUUCAAAUAAUUUGGAAAAUUAAGCUUGCUUUUCCACAUGCCCCUGCAUCUAAUAUAAAAAUUCAGGAUCUAAAAAUUAUAUAUCAUCUUUCAAUCUCUAUAAUCUAAAUAUGGAUAUAGAUUGUAUUUCACCCUCUGGGUGUUGGCUUCCUUUUCAUUCUUAGGAAUGUCCAGGAAGGAACUCUAAAUCUUUUCUGGUCAGUUGUCCAACAUGAUAAAACAGGCUUGGUUUAAGUAAUCCUUUAAAAUUCUAAAUAGAAUAACAACCUUUUCAUUUGAUGAAAGGCCAUAUUGGAAAAAAAGACACCUUUUUUUUAAAAGUUAUCUACAUUUUAUAAUAAUUUAAAUACUUUCUAAUGGGAAUAAAAAUCCAGUUUUACAUCUGAGUUCUUGUAAGUCCAGUUUAUGCCUGAGACAAAUUAAAACAUUCAGGUUAUAAUAUUCCUAAAUAUGCCUUAUAAUGGGAUAAAUGACAGAUCUUUAAUCAUAGUAAUGCUAUUAUAUCUCUUAUACUCUGUAAGUUGUUAUCUAUUACUGUACCUUUGUGAUAGAAAAAAUAAUAUUCUAUCUUUAUGGUAGAAAAAAUAGUCUACUUACAUGGCUUUAAAAUCUUUAUAGAUAUGUAAUUUUAAGAAUUUUUAAAAGUAACUGAAAAGUAAUCUCAUGAUUUACAUGGUGUAUAAAAGCAAAGAUUGAUAAUUUAUUAUACAUGUUAUAAUUUGUCUUCCUUUUAUAGAAUAUUAGCCGUAAGACAGAUGUAUAUGGGGGCAUGUGCAUUCCAUCAUUUUAUUUAUUUUUUUUCUUUCUCUAUUUUGAGGUACUCCUAUUGCACUUUAUACUCACUGUUUAAAUGUAGUGGUUUUCAACUCUUGCUGCAUAUUAGAAUCCUGUGAAACUUAAAAAAAUCCUAUGCCCAGGCAGCACCUCACCCAAAUCUGAAUUUCUGAGGAUAGAACUUAGAUAUCAGUACAUUUUGAAGCUUUUUAAGUUGAGAACCACUGAUAAAAUGCAUCACUACUUUGUAAAACAUUUACAUGUUGUAAAUUGCAUGGAGAAAAAUGAAAGAAAAUGUCCUUCUCCCAAUAUAGAGGCGAGGCUUUUGGAGGGUGGUAGUAGGAUGAUUAUGGAAGUUUUAAGGAUGAUCAGAUAGAUCAUAAUAAAUAGAAUGUAGGCUGAAAUAGAAGUUCAUCUAGUAUUCUUUUUCUUAGCAGUGACUUAAGUGAAACACAUAGAAAAAGAUAUAAAACACUCACAAUUCACCUGGCCACUUGUGUGGGUCUUUUUUUUUUUUUUCCUUGACUCCAGCUGCUAGCCAACUUAUAACCUGAAUCUUGAUGAUUAAUAGCUUUUAUAAUAUUUUCUUAGCUCGUGUAACUUCAAUUGCAAUACUUUUUCUUCUAAUGUCUUACCCUUAUAAAAUAGCACUAAACUAUUUUUCUCAAUAAAUUCUACUGACACAUGGUCCCACAGAUUAAUUAUAAAUUGCAUGGAAGUGCUGCCCUUUGUCAGUUUUAAAUGUGUAGCUUUAUCUUCUCUUUCUCCUUGUCUUUCCAAGCUAAAUGGAAUUAGAAGCUUAAAGAAGCCUGUUUAACAUGGAAUCUAUUCCUAUUCUCUCAUUUUAAACAACAGUGCUAUUAAUUUUCAUCCUGGACUCUUUGGUUCCUCCUCUAUUUUCCCUUUUAUUAUAAUUAAAAAAGAACCAUCUCUGUUUUUACAAAGUCAUUUGUCUCACAACAUAGUUUAAACAUCUUUUUAGGAGUAAUUUUCUUCAGACGUUGUGAUUUCUUUUUUUUUUUUUUUAACCGUGGGCUCUCUCUGUAAGUGUAAUUGGGAAUACCAAAUAACUUCUACUUUUCUUCAUCUUCUUUAAAUUUUUUUUUUUUUAAAGGAAAAGAUGGAGGGGAAAGGGUAUCAAAAGGGACUGACAACCAUGGAAAUAAAUGUUGGGCCACUUUGCCACGGGUACUUUAAAACACCCCAAGGUAGAUGGAAAGAGGAACUUUAGGGUUUCGGCCAUUUAUCACUGAAAUUAUAAUGCUGGCACAGCUCUGCAAAUAUUUCCUUACAGGGUUUCAUAGACAUUUCACAAUAAAUGUUUUUUGUUAAAAUGGUCUUAGGUCUUAUAAAGCAGUGUCUGUAUUCCAGGAGGAAUUCUUUCACAGUUACUUAAUAGUGUUCGUUCACAGUGCCCUCCUUCUCCAUACUUUUUGUUCCCAUUGCAGUACUGGUAUCUUUGACCAGAGGGUAGAGACAGCCAACACUGAGUCUUAGCUGUUCUUUCUGAAUGAUUGAGAGAAAAGAAAACAUGGCCUUUGAGGGUUAUAUUUAAAUAUAGGGACUAUCGUUAUUACUAAGCUGCUGACCCAGUUACAGAUCCUUUGAUAGAGGAUGAAGUAGGAUAGGAAAAUGUGGAAAAAGCAUAUUGGUUAGACAUAACAAAGACCUUAGCUGUAAUCCUGGUGAAACACUCAAUAAUCAAUAAGAGGCAGAGCCAGUCAUGUGUUUUUGUGGUUCAGGCCGCUCUCUUGGCAUGGUAAGAGGUAGUUUGAGAAGAUCUCAACUUUCUUUCAGACAGUAUUUCCGAAUACUUCCACCAAGGAGAGAGAGAGUUCUACUAGAAUCUCCGUUUGUAAUUGGAGGUUGAUGCAAUUGUAAAUAAAACUUUGUAGGGAUGUCCACAUUUGCAUGCUUUUUGAGAAGCUUUCAUUAGAGCUUUAUGUGUCCAUAAAGAUUCUCCUUAAAAGCAGAGCCAGUCGUGUGUUUUUGUGGUUCAGGCCACUCUCUUGGCAUGGUAAGAGGUAGUUUGAGAAGAUCUCAACUUUCCUUCAGACAGUAUUUCCGAAUACUUCCACCAAGGAGAGAGAGCGUUCUCACUAGAAUCUCGUUUGUAAUUGGAGGUUGAUGAAAUUGUAAAUAAAACUUUGUAGGGAUGUCACAUUUGCAUGUUUUUUGAGGAGCUUUCAUUAGAGCUUUAUGUGUCCAUAAAGAUUCUCCUUAAAAGCAGAUGUCCAUAGUAUAGUUUUUCUUUAUAAUUUAUUGUGAAUUUGGUCAAAGUGAUUUCCUUCUGGAUACCUUAUUGAGAUAAGUGGGAUGGAUUAGAGAUUUCCUAGCUAACCUUCCUUCUGUUUUAUAGAUAAGGAAUUAACCCUGAGAUGUAAAACAUGGGGGUUUAGAUGUUCCCCAAAUCAUGUAUUUUGCCCCAGAAACUCAAGGGUGGAGGGGUUUUAGGUGGGAGGUGAUACAGGUAUUGGGACAGUUAGAUUUGGAUGAACCACCUCGGGCUUUUAAGUACCUGCCUGCAGAGUAGCAUGUGCAGAUGGCUCGGGAAUGAGGUGUGCCAGAAACCAGAAAAGGUGACAUGCCAAAGAAGGUGGAAAGGUAACAAAACUGAUCUUUUCUCAAGAUAUUUUUCAUAGCUGUUGGUCAUCUGGUACAGAGGGAAUCCACAUUGUAUUCCCAGAAGACCUUUAUUAUAUACCACAAGUCUGAGAUUUUUUUCUUUUGCAUUCUUUUAUGAAGAACUUUGGAAAUCUAUCAUAUGACUUUCCAGUUCUUAGCUAUCUGCUACCUAAUAUCCUAAUGGCAUAAUAGCAGUCACUUUUUCACUUUUCAUUGGUAUAGCAUUUACAACUAUUUAAUGCCAUUACAAUUUGUGAAUUAAUUUUAUAUUUUAAAUAACAUUGUAUAGUCUCUAGGGAAGGUAUUAUUAACUUUUUUUUUUUAAUAUGAAGAACCAGAUAUAGGGUUCUUAUAUUCUAGGGGCUCAGGAUUUAGUGGAGGAGAAAAAACAGGAGAGAAUUAACAGCAAGAGCACUUGCAUUUAGGUAGUCUUCUGUUUUACAUUCAUGAUUUCUUUUGUUCCUUAAAGGCAGUUACUCUUAUUAUUUUAGUUGACAGGGAAACCAAAGCAUCAAUUUAUAACUUGUCAGCGGUCCCACAGGCUGUCAGUGGUGAGGCCAGCCCCCAGCCCAGCCCCUCGAAUUUGAGAAUGUUCGAGUUUUACCACUCUGCGAAUUGUUUCUCUCAUCAUUAGCUCACGUAAUGGGUCUAGUCUGUGUGAAAGCCAGCCAAAACACGAGUUAGGUAAGAGGUUGCAGAGAAGGUGACACUGGAUCUGCAUCUUGGAGGAUGGGCAAGAGUUCCUUUGCUGGUGUGAUGAGGAGCAAGAGGGCAUUUUCAGCAGAGGGAAUGCCCUGAGCCAUGGUAGAAAUGGUUUUUGCAGAAAGGCAAUAAUGCCUCACAGUUUGGGCCUAGGAGGCUACUAUCCCGGGAUUCAGUAUGAAGCUGCACAUGAUUACUGCAAAGUUAGAAUCAAAAUUCACACAUUCUAAAUUCCUCGCAGCUGUUCAAUACCCCUCUAUCAUAAUUCUUUGUCCAUUUAUGUAAAGAAAGAACUCUUGGAGUUAAAUGACACUUCCUGAAGCCAUAGUUAUUACUGCUUGUCCACUUCUUUUGCCCAGACUUUACUGGCUCUUAUUUAAGCAGGCAUGUUCUGUCUGAUACAUAAUUUCAAGAAUUAAUUUAUGAAAUAUUUAUUUGGACCUACUAUGUGUCCAGGUCCUGGGUAGGUUCUGGGGAUCCUAAAUUGUGAAGUCCUUGCUAUCCAGGAGUUUUCAUGACCCACUUUUGCCAAACUCAAAAAAUUGAUAUUUUUAUUGAAUGUUCAUAUGUAGCCAGAACUGCUGUAAGACAUAUCUUAUAUUUUAAAAAUAUUUCCAGUUUUUUAUCUUGGUAAUAAUCAGAGAGAUACCUAGUUUUCUUGAACAUAGAUAAAUCUUUGCAUUCAAUAGUUUAUAGUUGAAUUAUCAAGUGGAGCUAAUAAGAGAACUGAUUGAAAUAGUGGUUGCUUACUAUAACAGUUUUCAGAUGCCAUGGCAUUUUUGCAGCAUGCUAUGUAGUUGAAGACAAAUGAGAAAAUAAUAGUUGAAAACACUUGCAUCUGAUAUGAAUGUUGAAGGACAGUAACACAUUUCAAGUCAUAUAACAUACCAGAUUGUUAGUAGACAAAUGUUGUUUUUAAAAUAUUAGUGCACUAUAGGUCUUAGAUCAAUCUUAAAAACUUUAAAAUAUUUUAAUUUAUAUAUGCACUAGCAUUUGAUGUAUAUGCAUAGAAAAUUGACAUUUUGAAACUCACUAACUUUUAUACAGAAAGCACACUCUUAUCAACUUGCCAAAAAGAAACUAACCUCAUGUUGACCUAUUUAAAAACCCUAGUCAGUUAUUUAUCAUAAUGGAAACAAGACACUAGCCAAAUAGGAUUACAGUAUUUAUCACUCAAACUUUAAGUUUUUUUAUACUCUCUAAUGGUUUAAUUGAUUAUUUUAUGACUUUUAGAAGUCUUAUGUGCUUAAAAAUUUAUGUAUUGCUGUGUUAAUUACUUACAGAGACUACAAGUUUUCGUAUUCAUAACUUUUCUCUUAGAGAUGCAUGGGCUGAAUAUGGAAAUUAAGAAAUAGGAAUAUGGGGAUCAAGUUGAAGAGAAGUAGAGUAGCUAGAGUGGAAAGAUUUAGACAAUAGAAAUGGGAAAAGAAAAGAAGCAUUGAUAAUUUCACUUGGUGCUUCUGGGAAGUUGAAGUUGAGGUGAGGCGAGAAUUGGGGCUGUGUGGGUCAGGGGCUGACCCAUUAGAUAACAGUGAAAAAUGCUGUCUGCAGCCAGCAUGGGGGUAGUGCAGGUGAAGGACAUAUGCUGGGUGUCGGGAUGGGUGGACGCUGCUGAAUGAAUGGAUGGAGCGAAGAAGCGGGCCUUCGUUGCUGACAUGGAAGGGGCUCUCUAGGAGAACUCGUUUUAAACCCAGAGAGGCUAGUGUUUACCAGGCAUCAUAUCCACUUACAGAUUUAUUUACAGGAGACUGGAAACUCUUCUAGGGUGUGCUGAUGGUCAGAUUAACACACACAUACAAAAAACCCCAAGUGUCAAGAGCAUAAGCUGUUUGGGAAUGGACUUGGAAAGUAGCCCUGCAUUUUCUAUAAGAUCCAGGCUCUUGUUCUGACCCUCUGCUCUCAGCUCCAGGACCUGGGACUUAAUUUCCUCAUCUGCAAAAUGGGAACAAUAAUGUUCUUCCUACUAGCCUCAUGGGAUUAUAAUUUAUGCGAAUGGGGUUUAUAAAUCUUGAAGCAGUGUACAAGAAGAGUGGUAUUAUGAUGAUACCAAAAAAAAAAAAAA